rnacentral:rRNA from 1 species
GCGGUGGAGCAUGUGGUUUAAUUCGAAGCAACGCGAAGAACCUUACCAGGUCUUGACAUCCCCUGACAACCCGAGAGAUCGGGCGUCCCUUCGGGGGACAGGGUGACAGGUGGUGCAUGGUUGUCGUCAGCUCGUGUCGUGAGAUGUUGGGUUAAGUCCCGCAACGAGCGCAACCCUCGACCUUAGUUGCCAGCAUUCGGUUGGGCACUCUAGAGGGACUGCCGGCGACAAGUCGGAGGAAGUGGGGAUGACGUCAAAUCAUCAUGCCCCUUAUGACCUGGGCUACACACGUGCUACAAUGGGCGGUACAAAGGGCUGCGAACCCGCGAGGGGGAGCGAAUCCCAAAAAGCCGCUCUCAGUUCGGAUUGCAGGCUGCAACUCGCCUGCAUGAAGCCGGAAUCGCUAGUAAUCGCGGAUCAGCAUGCCGCCGGUCGAAUACGUUCCCGGGCCUU